rnacentral:lncRNA from 1 species
CAUGCCUUGGGCAAAUUACUUUACAUGUCCAAGUCUCAGUUUCAUCAUCUAUAAAUUAUCUGUGCAGAAGGCACUUCUGAGAGUUCAAUGAGAUCAUGGCCAGCCUGUAUAGUAAAUAGUGAAACUGACCCAGCUCACAAGUGGUUACCAUCUCCAUACAGCAUUGUUUCCCAGUUCUCUUGAAAGCUACACCUGCGUACCACCAAGUUUCUAGACUAAACCCAGUUUUUUUCAGACACAUAGACUGUGGAAAUGCAAAUACUGUAACAUCCGGAGAGCACUGUAAGUUACCCUCCCUUCCUGCCUGUUUUCAGCCUUAUCAGUAAAAUCACUGAAUCCCCUAGGCCUCAGUGCCCAGCCUCAGGGUUUGUUGAGAGAGGGAAGACCCAGAGGGCAAGGGUAAAGAUUGACCCAGAGACUCAGAGGGUAACAGAGCUGUCCUGGGCUCAGGGAGCUGCAGCAAGUGCCACUUCAGAGGGCUCCAUGUGCGAGGAACUGAGAGUGGUCUCCAGUUGACAGACAGUGUUGGCCCUCAGUCUAACAAUCUGCAAAGAAGUGAAUUCCACUAGCAACCACAUCAGUGAGCUUGGAAGUGGAUUCUUCCACAGUCGAGCCUCAGAUGAGAGCCCAGCCUUGACCAACACCUUGACUGCAGCCUUGAAAGCGACCCUGAAGCAGAGAACCCAGCUAAGCUGUGCUCUGAUUCCUGACUCUCAGAAUAUAUGAGAUAAUAAAUGCAUGUUGCUUAAAAGUGCUGAGUUUGUGCUAAUUUGUUACAGGACAACAGGAAAUAAAUACACUUGCUGUCACUUACGUGUGAACAAAAGGAGGUGAGCUCUUUCUGCUGUAAGCAGGGGCAUAUAACAAACAGAUGUGCACCAACCUCAGCACAAACCUCAGGACCGCCUCAUCUUACUGGCCUUACCUGUACAUUUCCCACCAUGCCAACUUCUCUCUCACUCCCUGUACCUAUAUUUUCUCUGCUUAGAAUGAGUAUCUGUCCCCUUUUCUUGGCCUGUGAAGUCCCUUUUAUCCAUCCUGGACUGCCUGAAAUGACACUCCCUCCAAGAAGCCCUCUGAGAUUGACCCUUCCUAUGGGAUCUCAUAGCUCACUAAGUAUCCCUCCACCCUGAACCAGCUACAGGAUCUUGUGGCUCCCUGCCCUGAGGUCUCACUCACCACUCAAUGCCCCACACCUC